rnacentral:rRNA from 1 species
AUACAGAGGGUGCGAGCGUUAAUCGGAUUUACUGGGCGUAAAGCGCGCGUAGGUGGUUGAUUAAGUCAAAUGUGAAAUCCACGAGCUUAACUUGGGAAUUGCAUUCGAUACUGGUUAGCUAGAGUAUGGGAGAGGAUGGUAGAAUUCCAGGUGUAGCGGUGAAAUGCGUAGAGAUCUGGAGGAAUACCGAUGGCGAAGGCAGCCAUCUGGCCUAAUACAGACACUGGGGUGCGAAAGCAUGGGGAGCAAACAGGAUUAGAUACCCUGGUAGUCCAUGCCGUAAACGAUGUCUACUAGCCGUUGGGGGAUUUGAUCCUUUAGUGGCGCAGCUAACGCGAUAAGUAGACCGCCUGGGGAGUACGUUCGCAAGAAUGAAACUCAAAUGAAUUGGCGGGG